GGAAUAUUGGACAAUGGGUGAAAGCCUGAUCCAGCCAUCCCGCGUGAAGGAUGACGGUCCUAUGGAUUGUAAACUUCUUUUGUAUAGGGAUAAACCUAGAUACGUGUAUCUAGCUGAAGGUACUAUACGAAUAAGCACCGGCUAACUCCGUGCCAGCAGCCGCGGUAAUACGGAGGGUGCAAGCGUUAUCCGGAUUUAUUGGGUUUAAAGGGUCCGUAGGCGGACCGAUAAGUCAGUGGUGAAAUCUCAUAGCUUAACUAUGAAACUGCCAUUGAUACUGUCGGUCUUGAGUAAAUUAGAGGUAGCUGGAAUAAGUAGUGUAGCGGUGAAAUGCAUAGAUAUUACUUAGAACACCAAUUGCGAAGGCAGGUUACCAUGAUUUAACUGACGCUGAGGGACGAAAGCGUGGGUAGCGAACAGGAUUAGAUACCCGGG
rnacentral:rRNA from 1 species